UGCAAAACAAACUUCGGUGUGCGAGUAUAAAUACGGCUGAAGUUUUACAGAUCCAGCACAACGCAAUCAGCACCACACUUGAUCGCUUAAAACGGUCCGCAGUACUCAACAAUUCAAAAAAUAAAAAUCACCACAAACGUCAACAUGUCCGGAAAGCUCGUCAUCUUUUUCUUGGUAGCCGUCGCUCUGGCUUGUAUUGGUUCCGCUGCCGCCCAAUUCAUCUACCCAGCAGCUCCGGUUGUUACUUCCUAUUACCACCCAUACGGAUACACCUACCCCUUGACUUACAACUACAGAUUUGGUGCUUACCCAUACCUUUUGCGCCGUUAAGUCACACUGCCAAUGUUCUUCUCUUUUCCAAUCGAUAUAUCUUACAGAAGAAUACGACUUCAUGCCAAACGAUGUUUACAAUUUUCACAAUAUGUUAACAAAUUUAUUAAUUUGGUUGAAAAAAAAAUGUUGUAUAUUUUUAAAUAUUAAAUCAUUAUAAAUUAUUAUUAUACACGUCAUGAUAAAAUAAAAAAAAAUUCUUAAAAAAAUUA